rnacentral:rRNA from 1 species
CAGCAGCCGCGGGAAUACGUAGGGUGCAAGCGUUAAUCGGAAUUACUGGGCGUAAAGCGUGCGCAGGCGGUUCGCUAAGACAGAUGUGAAAUCCCCGGGCUUAACCUGGGAACUGCAUUUGUGACUGGCGGGCUAGAGUAUGGCAGAGGGGGGUAGAAUUCCACGUGUAGCAGUGAAAUGCGUAGAGAUGUGGAGGAAUACCGAUGGCGAAGGCAGCCCCCUGGGCCAAUACUGACGCUCAUGCACGAAAGCGUGGGGAGCAAACAGGAUUAGAUACCCGCGUAGUCCCUGUCUCUUAUAC